UUAGUUAAUUAUUUUAACAGGGUGACGAUAUGCAAUGAAGACAGCUAGCGUCAUAUUUUGAAAGAAAUCCGCCGCUGCAUCCUGUCGAGUAGGAAGGUGUCUGACAGACGCGUCUGCGCAUGCUCGGGCAGGUAACGAAUUGUUUGCAUCACCUAGCUAAUUUAACAAGCUAAGACGUGUUAAUUAAGCUAGCUGUGUUCGUAAACACGAAAGAAGCAUCCCACCCAAGUUUAAAGAUGCAUCGUGUUGGAUGAGCAGGCAUCACUUUUUGUAUGGAUGCCCAGAAUUUCUACCAGCAUGCUUGAUGUCAACCUGCAGUGCCUGAUCCAUUGUUCUUCGAUGAUGUUGAUGAUUUCAUCAAUGGUGUUUUACGAUGCAUUGUGUUGGACGAGCAGGCAUCACUUUUUGUAUGGACGCCCAGAUUUUCUACCAGCAUGCUUGAUGUCAGCCUGCAGCGCCUGAUCCAUUGUUCAUCAAUGAUGUUGAUGUUUUCAUCAAUGGUGAUUUUAAGAAACCAUAACCCGGACACUCAAGAAAAUGACCCUCAAGACAUUGUGAGAAGUUUCACGGAGGAACAGGAACACUCAGGCAAAACUACAUUCACUGCAGUUUGAUAUUUGUCAAGGCCUGACAUGGAGAAAAAUAAGAGGGUUUGCGUUCACAUUGUUCUCCAUCUACACAUCUGCACUUCACUUUUUAGAAGUUCCCAAAACUGUUUUCUCAAUACUUGGCACAGUGCAAAAGGAUUUUUUGUGUACAAGUGAGUGACCACAUGACCAGUUGACGCACAAGGAUCAGCACAAAGUAAUGGCCCCCAGCCAGCCACCGUCAGUGCAUUGAAAUACUGAUAUUGUUGAAACCCCCACCAGUUUGCUCAAGAUCCACUGUGCCUGAAGAAUUAUGUGGUUAUACUGUGAACAACUGUGUUCAUUGGACAUGUGCCUGGAUUUAAACCACACUCUUAUCAUAAUAGGAAACACUAAGAAACUGACAAAUAAUAAGAUAUGCCCUGUGAUAGAGCAGCAUGAACAUAUGUAGAUGCAGGAUUUGAAAGCAACUAACAAAAUAACCAUUUCAUUAAAUGAAGCAAUUUAUUAUUCAAACAAGAAUAACGACAAAUUAAUAAACAAAUAACUUGAGUGCUAUUUUCAUUAGUGUAUUUGUUUUGGGGUUAUUAAUGUAGUCCUAAUGUUAAAUGUCUGUCACUGUGUCAUGGUUAUUCUAAAAAUGGUGGCACACACACUACAACCCAUAAUCUGGAUGUUUCAUUAUGCACUGCAUUUAGGUGUAAAUUUUAAAGUGGGUACAAAUGCAUAGCACAAAAAAGGACCAUUUUGUACUGCACUGAGUCAUC